rnacentral:SRP_RNA from 1 species
UAAUAACGCCAUCGCAAUGAGGGACUUUCGAACCAGGUCAGGACGGGAACGUAGCAGCCUUAAGAAACGAAGUCAUGUGCGGUGGUUUUAAUAUUU